rnacentral:sRNA from 1 species
UCCAUCUAGUAGGUGGCCGUCCCACACU